rnacentral:rRNA from 1 species
UUAAGCUAUAAAGAGCAUAGGGUGGAUGCCUAGGCACUGAGAGCCGACGAAAGACGUGAUAAGCUGCGAUAAGCUGCGGUAAGGAGCAAAUAUCCAUUGACCCGCAGAUUUCUGAAUGGGGAAACCUACGCAAGAAGACCUUGCGUACUCAUGCAUGAAUACAUAGUGUAUGAGAGGGAACCCGGGGAACUGAAACAUCUAAGUACCCGGAGGAAGAGAAAGAAACAUCGAUUUCCUGAGUAGCGGCGAGCGAAAGGGAAAGAGCCCAAACCAGAGGAUUUAUCCUUUGGGGUUAGGACUGCAUAAUUGAUCUGCAAUUGAUAGGAGAACGGUCUGGGAAGUCCGGCGAGAAAGCGUGAAAGCCGCGUAUCCGAAAUCGAAAGCAGCAAGGCAGGAUCCAGAGUACCACGAGACACGAGAAACCUUGUGGGAAUGAGCGGAGACCACUCCGUAAGGCUAAAUACUACUCAGUGACCGAUAGCGCAUAGUACUGUGAAGGAAAGGUGAAAAGGACCCCGGGAGGGGAGUGAAAGAGAACCUGAAACCCUGUGUUUACAAGCUGUCGAAGCACGAAAGUGCGACGGCGUACUUUUUGUAGAACGGUCCGGCGAGUUAUGAUGAGUGGUAAGGUUAAGGACUUAAGGUCCGGAGCCGAAGCGAAAGCGAGUGUUAAAAGCACGGUUGAAUCGCUUAUCAUAGACCCGAAACCGGGUGAUCUAUCCAUGUCCAGGUUGAAGCUGCCGUAAGAGGUAGUGGAGGACCGAACACACAUCCGUUGAAAAGGGUGGUGAUGAGGUGUGGAUAGGGGAGAAAUUCCAAUCGAACCCGGAGAUAGCUGGUUCUCCUCGAAAUAGCUUUAGGGCUAGCCUCUGGUUAGUCUGCCGCAGGUAGAGCACUGAAUUUCCUAGGGGGCGUCAAAGCCUACCGAAGAAUAUCAAACUGCGAAUGGCGGACAGAUGAUGCCAGGGAGUCAGACUGCACGAGAUAAGUUGGGUGGUCAAAAGGGAAAGAGCCCAGACCUACAGCUAAGGUCCCAAAGUGUGUGUUAAGUGGAAAAGGAUGUGGGAUUUCGAAGACAACUAGGAUGUUGGCUCAGAAGCAGCCAUACAUUAAAAGAGUGCGUAAUAGCUCACUAGUCGAGAGGUCCUGCGCCGAAAAUGUCCGGGGCUGAAACACAACACCGAAGCUGCGGAACCCGCAAGGGUUGGUAGAGGAGCAUUCUUAAAGGAACGAAGCAGUACCGUAAGGAGCUGUGGACUUUUAAGAAGAGAGAAUGCCGGAAUGAGUAGCGAGAGUAAGGUGAGAAUCCUUACGGCCGAAUAUCCAAGGUUUCCAGGGUAAAGCUGAUCUGCCCUGGGGAAGUCGGGACCUAAGGCGAGGCCGAGAGGCGUAGCCGAUGGACAACAGGUUGAGAUUCCUGUACUACAGUAUGACAGAACUGUGGGGACGCAGAAGGAGAGCACUACCUGGAAUGGAAUCCAGGGGCAAGCACAGGAGGGGUACGGCUGGAAAAACCGCCGUGCAACCCAAAGGUGUGACGCAUACCGAACUAAAGUAGGGAAAUGUGUGAGCCGGCUGCCGAGAAAAGCCGCUAUUGUUUGUACUGUACCCGUACCGUAAACCGACACAGGUGGAUGAGGAGAGAAUCCUAAGGCCGACGGAAGAAGCAUUGCUAAGGAACUCGGCAAAAUGACCCUGUAACUUCGGGAGAAAGGGUGCCUCGAAAGAGGCCGCAGAGAAUAGGCCCAAGCAACUGUUUAGCAAAAACACAGGUCUAUGCAAAACCGCAAGGUGAAGUAUAUGGGCUGACGCCUGCCCGGUGCUGGAAGGUUAAGGGGAGAUGUCAGGAGACGAAGCAUCGAACUUAAGCCCCAGUAAACGGCGGCCGUAACUAUAACGGUCCUAAGGUAGCGAAAUUCCUUGUCGGGUAAGUUCCG